AUCAACUUUCGAUGGUAGGAUAGAGGCCUACCAUGGUGGUAACGGGUAACGGGGUGUUAGGGCACGACACCGGAGAGGGAGCCUGAGAAACGGCUACCACAUCCAAGGAUGGCAGCAGGCGCGCAAAUUACCCAAUCCCGACACGGGGAGGUAGUGACAAUAAAUAACAAUACGGGGUUCUUUCGGAUUUCGUAAUUGGAAUGAGUACAAUUUAAAUCUCUUAACGAGGAACAAUUGGAGGGCAAGUCUGGUGCCAGCAGCCGCGGUAAUUCCAGCUCCAAUAGCGUAUAUUAAAGUUGCUGCAGUUAAAAAGCUCGUAGUUGAAUUUCGGGAUCGAUAUAUCGGUCGUGCCUCGGUACGUACUGGUAUUUUCGGUUUCUACCUUCUGACGAACCUUGAUGUCAUUAAUUUGGUGUCUUGGGGAAUCAGGACUGUUACUUUGAAAAAAUUAGAGUGUUUAAAGCAGGCUCACGCUUGAAUACAUUAGCAUGGAAUAAUGAAAUAGGACGUUUGAUUCUAUUUUGUUGGUUUCUAGGAUCGACGUAAUGAUUAAUAGGGAUAGUUGGGGGCAUUAGUAUUCAAUUGUCAGAGGUGAAAUUCUUGGAUUUAUUGAAGACUAACUACUGCGAAAGCAUUUGCCAAGGAUGUUUUCAUUAAUCAAGAACGAAAGUUAGGGGAUCGAAGACGAUCAGAUACCGUCGUAGUCUUAACCAUAAACUAUGCCGACUAGGGAUCGGAUGAUGUUAAUUUUUUAAUGACUCAUUCGGCGCCUUACGGGAAACCAAAGUGUUUGGGUUC
rnacentral:rRNA from 1 species